GGGGAAUAUUGCACAAUGGGGGAAACCCUGAUGCAGCAACGCCGCGUGAGUGAUGACGGUCUUCGGAUUGUAAAGCUCUGUCUUCAGGGACGAUAAUGACGGUACCUGAGGAGGAAGCCACGGCUAACUACGUGCCAGCAGCCGCGGUAAUACGUAGGUGGCAAGCGUUGUCCGGAUUUACUGGGCGUAAAGGGAGCGUAGGUGGAUAUUUAAGUGGGAUGUGAAAUACUCGGGCUUAACCUGGGUGCUGCAUUCCAAACUGGAUAUCUAGAGUGCAGGAGAGGAAAGUAGAAUUCCUAGUGUUGCGGUGAAAUGCGUAGAGAUUAGGAAGAAUACCAGUGGCGAAGGCGACUUUCUGGACUGUAACUGACGCUGAGGCACGAAAGCGUGGGUAGCGAAC
rnacentral:rRNA from 1 species